CACGUAGGAGGCAAACGUUAUCCGGAUUUAUUGGGCGUAAAGCGCGUGUAGGUGGUUCUGUAAGUAGGGCGUGAAAGCUCCCGGCUCAACUGGGAGAUGCCGUUCUAAACUGCAGAGCUAGAGGAUGGUAGAGGGAGGUGGAAUUCCAGGUGUAGCGGUGGAAUGCGCAGAUAUCUGGAGGAACACCAGUGGCGAAGGCGGCCUCCUGGACCAUUCCUGACACUCAGACGCGAAAGCUAGGGUAGCAAACGGGAUUAGAUACCCG
rnacentral:rRNA from 1 species